UACGGGGGGAGCAAGCGUUGUUCGGAUUUAUUGGGCGUAAAGAGCGUGUAGGCGGCUUGGUAGGUCCGCUGUGAAAACUCGAGGCUCAACCUCGAGAUGUCGGCGGAAACCACUUGGCUAGAGUCCGGAAGAGGAGAGUGGAAUUCCUGGUGUAGCGGUGAAAUGCGCAGAUAUCAGGAAGAACACCUAUGGCGAAGGCAGCUCUCUGGGACGGUACUGACGCUGAGACGCGAAAGCGUGGGGAGCGAACAGG
rnacentral:rRNA from 1 species